UUAUGUCUUGCUGAACCUUUUUUUUUUUUUCCUGUACAGUAAGACUUUGGGAAUGAAAUGCUACAAUCUCCUCUUGUCUAUGGUGUUUUUCUGCAAUAGUUCCCUACGCAAUCAUUAUAGUAGAAUAAAGGAAAUAAUCUAGGGAUAGUGAUUCAAUAAAUAACAGGUGCCCUGUCUAGAGCGUACGCGUCCUUGAGCCACGCAGGUGCAUGAUGACGUCAUACUGUGGCUUCAUUGUAGAUUGACCAAAGGAGCAUUAGUGGAAAAAAACAGGGUAGCCCUGAGACAAUAGGAUGACGUCACGACCAAUGAGAACGGCCAGCAGGGGGCGCAAGGAUUCACUUCUCUCUUGGACACUGACGGGUCUCGACACGCAAAUUCUGCUCCUGGCGUUGGCCGUCAGUGGAAGAGCGUAGCUUCGGUGGGGUUCUGUCUGCCUCUGAUGGGGUGCGGAUGUGUGGUUCGUCACUGGUGAAUGGUGUUCGACGAUGCAGGUGGAUUUUGUGACGAGCGGAUUUACAAUGAGGGAAUGCUGUGAACGGGAAAAAUGAUGAGCUGUCCUAACCUGCCCAGACAUGCCAUGAUGACGUCACAGCUGACGUCACAGGAUGUGCGGAACUGGUGCUGCGAUGCUUUGCAACCUGCCUCAGUGCUCCGUCGCCCAGCGGCCUUUCCGGGCCGCUUUCUUCAAGAUGAUGUCGUUGAUCUUCAACUAAACUCCUUCUCUCCA